rnacentral:rRNA from 1 species
UGCAUGUCUAAGUAUAAGUUAUACACAGCGAAACUGCGAAUGGCUCAUUAAAACAGAAAUAAUUUAUUUGAUGAUCUUUUUACAUGGAUAACCGUGGGAAACUGGGGCUAAUACAUGCGUAAAGCCGCAAGGCUGUAUUUAUUAGUUUCAAUCCAAUUUAACAUCGUUAAAUUAGAGGAAUCAUAAUAACUAGUCGGAGCGAUGCAAGUCGCUACAUCAUUCAAGUUUCUGCCCUAUCAGCUUGAUGGUAGUGUAUUGGACUACCAUGGCUAUAACGGGUAACGGAGAAUUGGGGUUCGAUUCCGGAGAAGGAGCCUGAGAAACGGCUACUAUUUCUAAGGAAGGCAGCAGGCGCGUAAAUUACCCAAUCCUGAUUCAGGGAGGUAGUUAAUGGAAAUAACUAGUUCGUCUCAUUGAGAUUUGAACUUGUAAUGAGUUGAAUUUAGAUAAUUCUUCGAAUACUAUUGGAGGGCAAGUCUGGUGCCAGCAGCCGCGGUAAUUCCAGCUCCAAUAGCGUAUAUUAAAGUUGUUGCAGUUAAAAAGUUCGUAGUUGAAUGUCGGCAUUUUUGCCUGCCAGCUCGUCAUAGCGCUAUACAUGUAUUGUGUUAUGAAAGACUGGCUUUUACUGUGAACAAAAUAAAGUGCUCAGAACAGGCUUUUGCCUGAAUAAUACAGCAUGGAAUAAUAAAAUAAGACUUUCUUCAUUUUAUUGGUUUGAUGUAGAAAGUAAUGAUUAACAGAAACAGUUGGGGCCAUAUGUAUUUGAUAGUCAGAGGUGAAAUUCUAUGAUUUAUCAAAGA